AAGUGCUGGGAUUACAGACGUGAGCCACCGCGCCCAGCCUGGAAUUCAACUGGAGUGUACCACAAUCUGUUUAACAAGUCCCAUGUUGUCAGAUAACUAUGUUGCUUCCCAUUUUUUACUCUUACAAACAAUGUCCUUAUAGCUAAAUCUUUACAUACAAACUCCAUGAUGGCUUCUUUACGAUUAAUUCUUAGAAGUGAAAUUGCUGAGUCAAGACUAUUAUUUUGAAGGCUUUUAAUGAGUAUUGCCAAAUUGCCCUUCUUACAUGUGCUAUUUUACAGACCUACUGACCAUAUAUGAGAAUACUCAUUUUGCAAACAGUGGGUUUGCAACAACAAAACAAAUUCCCAAACUCUGUCAACUUGACAAGUUAAUGAGACUUCCUUAUAUUCUACAGUCUGAGGCACACCACAGUGAAAUCUCUCUGGUCAAUUUAGUAUUGUGCCAUGAGAAUAUGUUCUGAGCAGCAGCUCUUGAUGUUUACAUAAACCAUUACUUAAGCCCUCAACACCAUCAAAUAUUUAUUUAACAUCCACUGUGGGUUAAGAAUCGCAACCCAGGGCCCCAAAGCAACUUACAAGCUAAAGGAAGGAGUGGAGGCACAGUUCCUUGUCUUUGCCUUGGGAAUAUUUUUAGUAGCUGUAUAACAUUUCACAAGAUGAAUGUACCACAAAUUUUAAUCCUUCUAUUGUUGAUGGAUUUGGAUUAUUACCAACUUUUGGCCUUUGAGCCAGUCUAGGAUUCACGAUGUAACCAUGGAGCAGAUGCUUUGAGGUGAAUGACAUUUCCAGCAUUGAAGGACAGCAUAGACACGGAAAUACAUUUUAUGGCGUGCCAGUGGGUGUGGUGGGUCUCAGGGAUGCAAGGUGGGUGAGACUCCCUGUCUGUUCCUGAGGAGCUCUGGUGAGUGGGAAGGAGAAGGGAACACUCGAAGAGCAUGGCAGCCUUAAAGAGGCAGUGGGCUGAGGAGGCUCGCUCUGUGUUCAGAAAUUGGAACAGGGUUGUAGAAAGGAUGCUGUGUGGCUGUUAAAGUAAACUCCACCCAUUUUAGAAUUUUCCUUGGAAGCGGCCUCAAUGUCUAGAAAAGAGUGGGAAAAAUCUUUCCCCUUUUCAAAUUUGUUCUUUUUUGAGCCAUGCAACUUUAAUUCUAAGAAUAAAACAUUCAUGCUUCUA